UACGUAGGGUGCGAGCGUUGUCCGGAAUUAUUGGGCGUAAAGGGCUCGUAGGCGGUCUGUCGCGUCGAAAGUGAAAACUCAGGGCUUAACCCUGAGCCUGCUUCCGAUACGGGCAGACUAGAGGUAUGCAGGGGAGAACGGAAUUCCUGGUGUAGCGGUGAAAUGCGCAGAUAUCAGGAAGAACACCCGUGGCUAAGGCGGCUCUCUGGGCAUGUUCUGACGCUGAGGAGCGAAAGUGUGGGGAGCGAACAGG
rnacentral:rRNA from 1 species